UUACGAUAAAGGCAAAGUUCAGGGCAACCUGAACGGCGCAAAACCGAAGCUCCGGGAGUCACCGGAGGGCUGGGUUGCCGAA
rnacentral:ncRNA from 1 species